AAAUUGGGUAGAAAGGGAGUAAAUGUAGGUGCGUAGAUUGAAGAGAGAUGACAAGGGGAAAGCAAAAGAUAGAGGCCCAGCGGAAAAAUGCUGAGAAGAAUCAGAAAGGCAAAGGAUCUCAACUUGAAGCCCGUGCUGUUGGCCUCAAAGUCAUCUGUCCCAUUUGUAAGGCGCAGCUAGCAAAUCAAAACCAACUUGUUGAUCACUAUGGCUCCAAGCAUCCAAAGGAAAAGCCUCCAAGUAACUCGGAAUAACAUGUCCUGUUUCUUGGGAAAUUGCUUGCUUUUGUUCUCAAACCUUUGAAUUAGUAAAAACUCUGUUAAAAAAGCAGAGUCCAAGCUGAUGGUGGUUGCUUUGUGAAAUAGAAUGAACAUUAUGUGAAUACUGUAAACUAGAAAACAAUAAAAGUUCAAACACUGAUGUUUUGUUU